AUUGCCAGCAUUUAAAUUCAGAGGAGGAUGACAGUGGGAGGAGGAGGGACAUAUACACAUUUUUUUCUUUCUUUCAGAUUUAAUGCCAGCAUUUUAAUUCAGAGAAGGAUGACAGUGGGAGGACGAGGGACAUAUACACAUUUUUUCUUUCUUUCAGAUUUAUAGCCAGCAUUUUAAUUCAGAGGAGGAUGACAGUGGGAGGAGGAGGGACAUAUA